CUUUUGUUUCAAAUUGUCUGAACUUAUGCAAUUUUGGAAUUUUUUACUUAACCUUUUGGAUAAUUUCGAUUUUUAAAUAAACUUCAGGGAAAAAAUAUGUCGGAAGAAUAUGAAUCAAUUAUUUUGAAAACAGGGUGGGGUUUAUUUACCUACUUCAUUAUCAGUUUGUGUGGUUUUUGCACAAUGGCAGAAGCUGGUGCUUCGCUAAUUAUUUUAUUAGUUGCUCCCUUACUCGCCUGCGAUCUUAAUUAUCACAAAGAUGAUAUAAUGACAAUGAAUGCGACUUCGUCUCUUGGAAUGGCAUUUGGUGGAUUAUUAUUUGGUGUUUUAAUUGACACACUUGGACGAAGAGAAACAUUUUCCGUGACAAUGAUCGUUAUAUUUUGUGGUACUAUGGGUCUUUCCUUUGCUCAGAGUUUCUUUUUAAUUAAUUUGGCGGUUUUUGUCAUCGGGAUCGGAGUAGCAGGUAACAAUGCAGUGAUAAGAAUCUAUAUAAUUGAAUUUUUACCAUCGAGAAAGCGAGGAUCUUGUCUUGCAGUGAUUGAUUUUUUAUGGAUCGUUGGUUAUUUAACUUCUUUGGGAAUGCUUUGGGGUUUGAUACCGUCAGUGAUAAAAAUGCAAGAACAAGAAUGGAGACCAAGUUCAUGGCGUGUUUUAGUAGGAUUAGGAGCUGUUCCUGCUUUAUUAGGAUCUUGCGCAAUUAGCCUCUUACCAUCAAGUCCUCGAUAUCUUCUUUAUAGACGUCAACCUGAACGAGCGCUUGCAGUUCUCAGACAAAUUUAUGCAAUUAAUUUUUCCAAACACGCUGAUAAAUUUGAAGUUUCAAACAUUGAAGGAUGUAUACAACCAGAUGAUGAUGAUGAUGAUGAAUCAGAGGAAAUUCAAACUCUCAAGAAAAUUGUUUGCAAAUGUUUUUUAAAAAAUCGACAACGAGUACAGAAAAUAUUCACUCUGCCUUAUUUGCGAAUCAGUCUUUUAAGCAUUGUUGCCUGUUGCCUUCAAUUUCCAGGAUUCAUUUGGCUGGCUUUAUGGAACAUGAAAGUUUUGAACGACACUCAAAAUUUGAAUGAAUUUUCUCUUUUGAUGAAUAACAACACUUGUAUUUCAAAUUCGGGUUCUGUCGCUAUGACCUUCUUCAAUACCUGCCAUCAGGAAAAUAAUGAACAUCUCCAAACUUUUUCACUUUUAUCAUUGAGUUUCACACUCAGUGAACUUUUUCUCAUAUUUGCUGUCGACAAAUUUGGCCGACGAUUAUUUCUGAUAUCUUCGGGAUUAAUCGGAAGUAUGGCAAUGAUAACCUUUACUUUUGUGACUAGUCACGUUAUCAGGAUUGUUUUAUCCGUCGCUAUUUUAUCAGCUUUUGCCGUAAGCUACACGACAGUGACAUUAUUCUUACUGGAAAACUAUCCCACCGCCUUGAGAGGCACGAUUAUUGGUUUCGCAAGAAUUCUUCCACACCUGGUUGGAUUCUUCAUGAAAUCUUUUAUGAAGUUACCCUGUUUAAUGACACUUUACAUUGCAUCUGGCAUAAUGAUAGGUACUGUGAUUACGACGCUUCCUAUUCCCGAUUUGACAAAUGCUCCAUUACAAGAGUAAUGAUGUUUUAACUGUUUCAAACCGCGAGGAAAUAUUUUUUAUCUAUGGAAGUAAAGCGAAAAAAGUCAAAAAACCCAUUUUGUAUGUCCAGUCCCGAGUCGAAGUUGAAUCUGAAAGCGGAGGCGGUUUUAAACGAGCUUCAAUUCAAUGGCUUUCUUUAUAUAUAUUGAGAUAAGUGGAGUUUUUCUUCGAAUGCUGGUUGUAUUGGCUUCAUUCAUAAUUUGAAACUGGCCUGAACCUUGGCUUAGCUUCAAGUCGACGUUCGUGGUGGUAACAAAGUUCGAACGCAACUGGCGCAGCUUUCGACGUUCGGUAUAUUAUAAGUUCUUAACUCGUUGCAAGAUCAAACCUUGCACGCCAUAAUUAGGAAAUGAGUAUAUGUGCUUCUUUUAGCCCUUAACUGACCUCCAUUCUAGGAACUUAAAAAUAAUCGCUCUCCAUAUUCGCAAUUCAUUUCUAUAUAAUUUGUUUUUUUUUAAAUUUAUACUUUAAUCCCUUUUAAAUUGUUAAUUGAAUCGAAAAUUUCGAAAAAACAAUUUUUCACAUAUA